rnacentral:misc_RNA from 1 species
GAUGAAGAACGCAGCGAAAUGCGAUAAGUAAUGCGAAUUGCAGAAUUUCCGUGAGUCAUCGAGUCUUUGAACGCACAUUGCGCCCCCUGGUAUUCCGGGGGGCAUGCCUGUCCGAGCGUCAUUGCCGCCCUCAAGCACGGCUUGUGUGUUGGGCCCCCGCCCCCCGGCUUCGGGGGGCGGGCCCGAAAGGCAGCGGCGGCACCGCGUCCGGUCCUCGAGCGUAUGGGGCUUCGUCACCCGCUCUGUAGGCCCGGCCGGCGCCCGCCGGCGACCCCAAUCAAUCUUUCCAGGUUGACCUCGGAUCAGGUAGGGAUACCCGCUGAACUUAAGCAUAUCAAUAAGCGGAGGA